rnacentral:rRNA from 1 species
UACGGAGGGUGCGAGCGUUGUCCGGAAUCACUGGGCGUAAAGGGCGCGUAGGCGGCGCGGAUAGUCGGCGGUGAAAGCCCGGAGCUCAACUCCGGGUCGGCCGUCGAUACUUCCGGGCUUGAGCACUGUAGAGGCAGAUGGAAUUCCGGGUGUAGCGGUGGAAUGCGUAGAGAUCCGGAAGAACACCGGUGGCGAAGGCGGCGACCUGGUCCUUGACUGACGCUGAGGCGCGAAAGCGUGGGGAGCAAACAGG